ensembl:lncRNA
GUUGAAAAACUAGGUUAGUGGUCCGACAGGCAUGACGGUGAAGAGAAACUGGGUCACCGAUUGAAAAUCGUUUAUGUCACAGUUCUGUGUGUUGCUAUUACAUAUUACCGGCGUCUUUCAAUGGAUAGACUAAUCCCACUGGACCCAUUAGGUAGACGAGUUGAGCCAACUGCUUAA